rnacentral:rRNA from 1 species
AACGAACGCUGGCGGCAUGCCUAACACAUGCAAGUCGAACGAGACCUUCGGGUCUAGUGGCGCACGGGUGCGUAACGCGUGGGAAUCUGCCCUUGGGUUCGGAAUAACAGUUGGAAACGACUGCUAAUACCGGAUGAUGACGUAAGUCCAAAGAUUUAUCGCCCAAGGAUGAGCCCGCGUAGGAUUAGCUAGUUGGUGAGGUAAAGGCUCACCAAGGCGACGAUCCUUAGCUGGUCUGAGAGGAUGAUCAGCCACACUGGGACUGAGACACGGCCCAGACUCCUACGGGAGGCAGCAGUGGGGAAUAUUGAACAAUGGGCGAAAGCCUGAUCCAGCAAUGCCGCGUGAGUGAUGAAGGCCUUAGGGUUGUAAAGCUCUUUUACCCGGGAUGAUAAUGACAGUACCGGGAGAAUAAGCUCCGGCUAACUCCGUG